rnacentral:sRNA from 12 species
AUAACAAGUUACCAGCGACAAAUUCCCAGGCUGGGAAAAGUCAUAUACCAUAUGGUAUAUGACUAGCUGACUAACUGACC